rnacentral:rRNA from 1 species
UACGUAGGGGUCUAGCGUUGUCCGGAAUUAUUGGGCGUAAAGAGCUCGUAGGCGGUUCGGCAAGUCGGAUGUGAAAUCUCCACGCUUAACGUGGAGGAGCCAUUCGAAACUGCCGUGACUCGAGUCCGGUAGGGGAGUGCGGAAUUCCCGGUGUAGCGGUGAAAUGCGCAGAUAUCGGGAGGAACACCAGUGGCGAAGGCGGCACUCUGGAACGCAACUGACGCUGAGACGCGAAAGCGUGGGGAGCAAACAGG